GACGAACGCUGGCGGCGUGCCUAAUACAUGCAAGUAGAACGCACAGUUUAUACCGUAGCUUGCUACACCAUAGACUGUGAGUUGCGAACGGGUGAGUAACGCGUAGGUAACCUGCCUGGUAGCGGGGGAUAACUAUUGGAAACGAUAGCUAAUACCGCAUAAUAUUGAUUAUUGCAUGAUAAUUAAUUGAAAGGUGCAAUCGCACCACUACCAGAUGGACCUGCGUUGUAUUAGCUAGUAGGUGAGGUAACGGCUCACCUAGGCGACGAUACAUAGCCGACCUGAGAGGGUGAUCGGCCACACUGGGACUGAGACACGGCCAGACUCCUACGGGAGGCAGCAGUAGGGAAUCUUCGGCAAUGGACGAAAGUCUGACCGAGCAACGCCGCGUGAGUGAAGAAGGUUUUCGGAUCGUAAAGCUCUGUUGUAAGAGAAGAACGGGUGUGAGAGUGGAAAGUUCACACUGUGACGGUAUCUUACCAGAAAGGGACGGCUAACUACGUG
rnacentral:rRNA from 1 species